rnacentral:tRNA from 1 species
GGGCCCGUAGCCCAGCCAGGACAGGGCACCGGCCUCCGGAGCCGGGGGUCCCGGGUUCAAAUCCCGGCGGGCCCGCCA